rnacentral:tRNA from 1 species
AGGGGUAUAGCUCAGUUGGUAGAGCGACGGUCUCCAAAACCGUAGGUCGUGGGUUCGAGUCCCCCUGCCCCUGCCA